GUCACUCGCUCCCCAGCCCUCGGGCUGGCGCUUGUCUGUCACAGACAGAGAGGUCCAUGAGUGACCAGCCCGAGUCACCGCGUGGAGGAGGUGUGAUCGGUGACUACGUUUCAGGUGAGUGAGAAGACCCACCAGGCCGUGCUUCCUCAGCGGCCUGCUCUGGAAUCCGUGGCAGCAGACAUCCCUGGGAGCAGGGACGAAACGGGCUACGGACGCUCCGCGCGUAAGGCUGGGGCAGCUGGCCUGGAACAUGGGCGAGGGGAGAUGCGUGAGUCUGACCUC
rnacentral:sRNA from 1 species